rnacentral:rRNA from 1 species
CAAAGCACUUUGAAGAGAGAGUUAAAGAGGACGUGAAACCGGUGAGGUGGAAACGGACAGAGCCGGCGUAUCUGGCCUGUAUUCAGCCGCGUGCUCGCUGCCGUCUCGUGUGCAUGUCUCCAGAUUGGGACUGUGCGCGGUCUGACGGCGGGUGUGCGGUGCAUUUGCAGGUGGAGUGCGCUGAGGCGUUCGGUGCAGCGGCAUGAACUCGGCUCUGAGGCCAGCCCAGCAAUGGGUCUGGAACCCGUGCCGUGGGGAGUGCUGUUUGCGCUGGAUGUGCGGUGGGCAAUGGUCACGGGCCCGUGUGGGUGCCGAGCUGGCGGUGGGUGGCGGUCGCGUGCGACACGUGCCGGCAGUCAGUUCGGUCCUGCUCGAGCUCUCACAUGCUCGUCCUCGGUGUAAAAGCCGGUCAUCUGUCCGACCCGUCUUGAAACACGGACCAAGGAGUUUAGCGUGUGCGCGAGUCAUUGGGCGUUGAAAACCCAAAGGCGCAAUGAAAGUGAAGGCAUCCCUUGUGGAGCUGAUAUGUGAUCCUGGCCACCACGGUGUGCCGGGCGCAACAUGGUCCCGUC